GUCUACAGCCAUGCCACCCUGAACAUACCUGAUCCCGUCUGAUCUCGGAAGCUAAGCGGGGUCGGGCCUGGUUAGUACUUGGAUGGAGACCACCUAGGAAGAGCAGGUGCUGUAGGCG
rnacentral:rRNA from 1 species